AAAGGGAAACAGCCCAGACCACCAGUUAAGGUCCCCAAAUAUAUGUUAAGUGGAAAAGGAUGUGGGGUUGCUUAGACAACCAGGAUGUUGGCUUAGAAGCAGCCACCAUUGAAAGAGUGCGUAAUAGCUCACUGGUCGAGUGACCCCGCGCCGAAAAUGUACCGGGGCUAAACAUAUUACCGAAACUGUGGAUGAACCUCUUUAGAGGUUCGUGGUAGGAGAGCGUUCUAAGGGCGGUGAAGUCAGACCGGAAGGACUGGUGGAGCGCUUAGAAGUGAGAAUGCCGGUAUGAGUAGCGAAAGAAGGGUGAGAAUCCCUUCCACCGAAUAUCUAAGGUUUCCUGAGGAAGGCUCGUCCGCUCAGGGUUAGUCGGGACCUAAGCCGAGGCCGAUAGGCGUAGGCGAUGGACAACAGGUAGAGAUUCCUGUACCAGUGCUAAUUGUUUAACCGAUGGGGUGACACAGAAGGAUAGGGAAUCGCACGAAUGGAAAUGUGCGUCCAA
rnacentral:rRNA from 1 species